rnacentral:rRNA from 1 species
GAUGAACGCUGGCGGCGUGCCUAAUACAUGCAAGACGAGCGAACAGACGAGGAGCUUGCUCCUCUGACGUUAGCGGCGGACGGGUGAGUAACACGUGGAUAACCUACCUAUAAGACUGGGAUAACUUCGGGAAACCGGAGCUAAUACCGGAUAAUAUAUUGAACCGCAUGGUUCAAUAGUGAAAGACGGUUUUGCUGUCACUUAUAGAUGGAUCCGCGCCGCAUUAGCUAGUUGGUAAGGUAACGGCUUACCAAGGCGACGAUGCGUAGCCGACCUGAGAGGGUGAUCGGCCACCCUGGAACUGAGACACGGUCCAGACUCCUACGGGAGGCAGCAGUAGGGAAUCUUCCGCAAUGGGCGAAAGCCUGACGGAGCAACGCCGCGUGAGUGAUGAAGGUCUUCGGAUCGUAAAACUCUGUUAUUAGGGAAGAACAAAUGUGUAAGUAACUAUGCACGUCUUGACGGUACCUAAUCAGAAAGCCACGGCUAACUACGUG